rnacentral:miRNA from 1 species
CGAUCUAAUCAAUCAUUUUUCGGG